rnacentral:rRNA from 1 species
GAUUAAGUUAUUAAGGGCGCACGGUGGAUGCCUUGGCACUAGAAGCCGAUGAAGGACGUUACUAACGACGAUAUGCUUUGGGGAGCUGUAAGUAAGCUUUGAUCCAGAGAUUUCCGAAUGGGGAAACCCAGCAUGAGUUAUGUCAUGUUAUCGAUAUGUGAAUACAUAGCAUAUCAGAAGGCACACCCGGAGAACUGAAACAUCUUAGUACCCGGAGGAAGAGAAAGAAAAUUCGAUUCCCUUAGUAGCGGCGAGCGAAACGGGAAGAGCCCAAACCAACAAGCUUGCUUGUUGGGGUUGUAGGACACUCUAUACGGAGUUACAAAGGACGACAUUAGACGAAUCAUCUGGAAAGAUGAAUCAAAGAAGGUAAUAAUCCUGUAGUCGAAAAUGUUGUCUCUCUUGAGUGGAUCCUGAGUACGACGGAGCACGUGAAAUUCCGUCGGAAUCUGGGAGGACCAUCUCCUAAGGCUAAAUACUCUCUAGUGACCGAUAGUGAACCAGUACCGUGAGGGAAAGGUGAAAAGCACCCCGGAAGGGGAGUGAAAUAGAACCUGAAACCGUGUGCUUACAAGUAGUCAGAGCCCGUUAAUGGGUGAUGGCGUGCCUUUUGUAGAAUGAACCGGCGAGUUACGAUUUGAUGCAAGGUUAAGCAGUAAAUGUGGAGCCGUAGCGAAAGCGAGUCUGAAUAGGGCGUUUAGUAUUUGGUCGUAGACCCGAAACCAGGUGAUCUACCCUUGGUCAGGUUGAAGUUCAGGUAACACUGAAUGGAGGACCGAACCGACUUACGUUGAAAAGUGAGCGGAUGAACUGAGGGUAGCGGAGAAAUUCCAAUCGAACCUGGAGAUAGCUGGUUCUCUCCGAAAUAGCUUUAGGGCUAGCCUCAAGUGAUGAUUAUUGGAGGUAGAGCACUGUUUGGACGAGGGGCCCCUCUCGGGUUACCGAAUUCAGACAAACUCCGAAUGCCAAUUAAUUUAACUUGGGAGUCAGAACAUGGGUGAUAAGGUCCGUGUUCGAAAGGGAAACAGCCCAGACCACCAGCUAAGGUCCCAAAAUAUAUGUUAAGUGGAAAAGGAUGUGGCGUUGCCCAGACAACUAGGAUGUUGGCUUAGAAGCAGCCAUCAUUUAAAGAGUGCGUAAUAGCUCACUAGUCGAGUGACACUGCGCCGAAAAUGUACCGGGGCUAAACAUAUUACCGAAGCUGUGGAUUGUCCUUUGGACAAUGGUAGGAGAGCGUUCUAAGGGCGUUGAAGCAUGAUCGUAAGGACAUGUGGAGCGCUUAGAAGUGAGAAUGCCGGUGUGAGUAGCGAAAGACGGGUGAGAAUCCCGUCCACCGAUUGACUAAGGUUUCCAGAGGAAGGCUCGUCCGCUCUGGGUUAGUCGGGUCCUAAGCUGAGGCCGACAGGCGUAGGCGAUGGAUAACAGGUUGAUAUUCCUGUACCACCUAUAAUCGUUUUAAUCGAUGGGGGGACGCAGUAG